rnacentral:rRNA from 1 species
GACGAACGCUGGCGGCGUGCUUAACACUUGCAAGUCGAACGGAAAGGCCUCUUUCGGGGGGUACUCGAGUGGCGAACGGGUGAGUAACACGUGAGUAACCUGCCCUUGACUUUGGGAUAACUUCAGGAAACUGGGGCUAAUACCGGAUAGGAGCUCCUGCUGCAUGGUGGGGGUUGGAAAGUUUCGGCGGUUGGGGAUGGACUCGCGGCUUAUCAGCUUGUUGGUGGGGUAGUGGCUUACCAAGGCUUUGACGGGUAGCCGGCCUGAGAGGGUGACCGGCCACAUUGGGACUGAGAUACGGCCCAGACUCCUACGGGAGGCAGCAGUGGGGAAUAUUGCACAAUGGGUGGAAGCCUGAUGCAGCAACGCCGUGUGCGGGAUGACGGCCUUCGGGUUGUAAACCGCUUUCGCUCAUGACGAAGCUUUGUGUGACGGUAGUGGGUAAAGAAGCACCGGCUAACUACGUG